rnacentral:rRNA from 1 species
GACGAACGCUGGCGGCGUGCUUAACACAUGCAAGUCGAACGGAAAGGCCCUGCUCUUGUGGGGUGCUCGAGUGGCGAACGGGUGAGUAUCACGUGAGUAACCUGCCCUUGACUUUGGGAUAACUUCAGGAAACUGGGGCUAAUAUCGGAUAGGAGCUCCUGCUGCAUGGUGGGGGUUGGAAAGUUUCGGCGGUUGGGGAUGGACUCGCGGCUUAUCAGCUUGUUGGUGGGGUAGUGGCUUACCAAGGCUUUGACGGGUAGCCGGCCUGGGAGGGUGACCGGGCACAUUGGGACUGAGAUACGGCCCAGAAUCCAACGGGAGGCAGCAGUGGGAAGUCUUGCACAAUGGGGGGAAGCCUGAUGAAGCAACGCCGCGUGCGGAAUGCCGGGCUUCGGGUUGUAAACCGCUGUCGCAUGUGACGAAGCGUGAGUGACGGUAAUGGGUAAAGAAGCACCGGCUAACUACGUG